GGGAGUGACGUCAGUCAUCAUGGCCCUUACGGCCUGGGCUACACACGUGCUACAAUGGUCGGUACAAAGGGUUGCCAAGCCGCGAGGUGGAGCUAAUCCCAUAAAACCGAUCGUAGUCCGGAUCGCAGUCUGCAACUCGACUGCGUGAAGUCGGAAUCGCUAGUAAUCGUGAAUCAGAAUGUCACGGUGAAUACGUUCCCGGGCCUU
rnacentral:rRNA from 1 species